CAGCAGCCGCGGGAAUACGAAGGGUGCAAGCGUUAAUCGGAAUUACUGGGCGUAAAGCGUGCGUAGGCGGUUUGUUAAGUCUGUUGUGAAAUCCCCGGGCUCAACCUGGGAAUGGCAAUGGAUACUGGCAAGCUAGAGUGUGUCAGAGGAUGGUGGAAUUCCCGGUGUAGCGGUGAAACGCGUAGAGAUCGGGAGGAACAUCAGUGGCGAAGGCGGCCAUCUGGGACAACACUGACGCUGAGGCACGAAAGCGUGGGGAGCAAACAGGAUUAGAUACCCCCGUAGUCCCUGUCUCUUAUAC
rnacentral:rRNA from 1 species